rnacentral:rRNA from 1 species
AAAUUGAAGAGUUUGAUCAUGGCUCAGAUUGAACGCUGGCGGCAGGCCUAACACAUGCAAGUCGAACGGUAACAGGAAACAGCUUGCUGUUUCGCUGACGAGUGGCGGACGGGUGAGUAAUGUCUGGGAAACUGCCUGAUGGAGGGGGAUAACUACUGGAAACGGUAGCUAAUACCGCAUAACGUCGCAAGACCAAAGAGGGGGACCUUCGGGCCUCUUGCCAUCGGAUGUGCCCAGAUGGGAUUAGCUAGUAGGUGGGGUAACGGCUCACCUAGGCGACGAUCCCU